UAACACGUAUGCAACCUACCUUACAUUGGGGGAUAGCCUUUCGAAAGGGAGAUUAAUACCGCAUAAGACAGUAGCUGGGCAUCCAGCAGCUGUUAAAGAUUUAUCGGUGAAAGAUGAGCAUGCGUCCCAUUAGCUAGUUGGUAAGGUAACGGCUUACCAAGGCUACGAUGGGUAGGGGUCCUGAGAGGGAGAUCCCCCACACUGGUACUGAGACACGGACCAGACUCCUACGGGAGGCAGCAGUGAGGAAUAUUGGUCAAUGGGCGCAAGCCUGAACCAGCCAUGCCGCGUGCAGGAUGACGGUCCUAUGGAUUGUAAACUGCUUUUGUACAGGAAGAAACACUCCCUCGUGAGGGAGCUUGACGGUACUGUAAGAAUAAGGAUCGGCUAACUCCGUGCCAGCAGCCGCGGUAAUACGGAGGAUCCAAGCGUUAUCCGGAAUCAUUGGGUUUAAAGGGUCCGUAGGCGGCUUAAUAAGUCAGUGGUGAAAGCCCUACGCUUAACGUAGGAACGGCCAUUGAUACUGUUAGGCUUGAAUUAUUAGGAAGUAACUAGAAUAUGUAGUGUAGCGGUGAAAUGCUUAGAGAUUACAUGGAAUACCAAUUGCGAAGGCAGGUUACUACUAAUGGAUUGACGCUGAUGGACGAAAGCGUGGGUAGCGAACAGGAUUAGAUACCCUGGUAGUCCACGCCGUAAACGAUGGAUACUAGCUGUUGGGAGCAAUUUCAGUGGCUAAGCGAAAGUGAUAAGUAUCCCACCUGGGGAGUACGAACGCAAGUUUGAAACUCAAAGGAAUUGACGGGGGCCCGCACAAGCGGUGGAGCAUGUGGUUUAAUUCGAUGAUACGCGAGGAACCUUACCAAGGCUU
rnacentral:rRNA from 1 species